rnacentral:rRNA from 1 species
UACGUAGGGGGCAAGCGUUGUCCGGAAUCAUUGGGCGUAAAGCGCGCGUAGGCGGCCCAGUAAGUCCGUUGUGAAAGUCAAAGGCUCAACCUUUGAAAGCCGAUGGAUACUGCUGGGCUCGAGUCCGGAAGAGGCGAGUGGAAUUCCUGGUGUAGCGGUGGAAUGCGCAGAUAUCAGGAGGAACACCAAUAGCGAAGGCAGCUCGCUGGGACGGUACUGACGCUAAGGCGCGAAAGCGUGGGGAGCGAACAGG